rnacentral:rRNA from 1 species
UACGUAGGGGGCAAGCGUUGUCCGGAAUCAUUGGGCGUAAAGAGCGUGUAGGCGGCCAUGUAGGUCCGUUGUGAAAACUCGAGGCUCAACCUCGAGACGCCGAUGGAAACCAUGUGGCUAGAGUCCGGAAGAGGAGAGUGGAAUUCCUGGUGUAGCGGUGAAAUGCGCAGAUAUCAGGAGGAACACCCGUGGCGAAAGCGGCUCUCUGGGACGGUACUGACGCUGAGACGCGAAAGCGUGGGGAGCAAACAGG